rnacentral:SRP_RNA from 1 species
CGGUUACCCCUGAGGAGGCGAACGAGAUGGCACAGGAGUUGGCCGGCUACUACGA